UACGGGGGGGGCAAGCGUUGUUCGGAAUUACUGGGCGUAAAGGGCUCGUAGGCGGUGUGUCGCGUCGGCCGUGAAAACUUGCAGCUUAACUGUGGGCGUGCGGUCGAUACGGGCAUCACUGGAGUUCGGCAGGGGAGACUGGAAUUCCUGGUGUAGCGGUGAAAUGCGCAGAUAUCAGGAGGAACACCGGUGGCGAAGGCGGGUCUCUGGGCCGAUACUGACGCUGAGGAGCGAAAGCGUGGGGAGCGAACAGG
rnacentral:rRNA from 1 species